rnacentral:lncRNA from 1 species
CUCAAUGUCAAUUUGCACUUUCAGUUAAGGUCUUUUUCUUCACCUUUAUCUUCAGGUAAACAGAAUCUAUGAAGCAGAAACUUGUUCUCAGUUUCCAAGACCAUCAUCUCAGUGAACCUAUGCAUAAUCCUCUUUAGGACUCAUAUAAACACUUCCAAAGUGGGCUAAUCUGCAGAGAAUAGUCCAGGCAAAUGGACAGAGAAUUAUAAGAACUAAUAUAACAGAUGACAAAAGCAUUAACCAACGAUGCAAGGUCUUCUGGAAAGCACCUUGUCUACACUGUGGGACUCAUGCCUCUCCCCCAUAAAUGAACUGGCCAAAGGCUUUUCUGCAGAGGUUUUCUGUCUGAUUACUUAAAUCUAGCAUCUCCCAUAGAGGGCUUUAAUGAAGAAAAUGAGGCACACAGUAAUAAAUGGUUCCAGUAAUGACA